UUUUUUGUUUGUUGUUUGUUUUUUUGUUUUGUUUUUUUUUAUUGCACCAUGGAUGAAUUUUUCUUCAAAUAUCAAUUUUUUUUUCUGUAUCUCAUCACCCAACAAGAGUGUUGCUUUUUAAAAGAUCAGUAGCUUGGGGCUGAAUUUGUAUUAAAGAUGAAAAAUAUCUCAAAGUAAAUUCAAUUUGUGAAUAUUUUCUUGUCUAUAUAAACUCUGCUUUUCAAUUUAGUGAAACAAAUGCUAAAGUUUUAUGAGAAAACCAAGUUAUGCAUGGCACUUUGUUUUUAGAUAACACAGGUCUUUAAAAUAUCAGUAUUUAUUCUGUAUUUAUUUCUCUCUUAAUUUCUCAAAAUUUCCUCAGCUUUAGAAUCUGAAAAGCUUCCUAUUUAUAAGUGGAUCCUAAAAGGUCUAUGACUCUUGUUUCUAGUUGUGGUUUUUGUUUUGUUUUGUUUUGUAGUCUCCAUGCCCAGCAUGGAGCCCAACAUGGGGCUUUAACUCAAGACCCUGAGUUGAAGACCUGAGCUGAGGUCAAAAGUUGGACACUUAACUGACUGAGCCACCCACUUCAGCUGCAAUCUUGAUUCUUGAUUAAAUGAUCAUUCAUAUAACCAUUCAUCAUUCACUUGAUAAAUGUUUAUUGGAUACUUGUUAUAUGCCAGGAACCUCCAAAAGUUAAGGGGAUAUAGUGUUUAGUAAGUCAGAUUUGGUUCCUGUACUCUCAGAGCUUAUGCAUUAGAGAGACAGAUGUUCGAUAUAUAACACAGACAUAAUGAGAGACAAUGACUGAGAAGACACAGAGAGCUAAGGGGCUAUAAAAAAUGGAACUUGACCUUGGGGCCAGGGAAGUAACUUUUGAAUUAGAGAUAGUCUUCAAAGCAAGACUAUCAUAAAGGAGUAAGAGUUAAAACAAAACAACAAACAAAAAGAAGUAGGAGUUAGCGAGGCAAAUAUUAUCCCAAACCAUGUCCACAGAUCCAUACUGUAAAAACUUUGCCUAUCAUUGCUGUACUUUUAAAAACAAAAUAAAAUUCGGCAUUCUGGAAAGUCACUUUUGGCUAUGACAAGAGCUCAAUAUGAAUACCACAGUGAUAUGGAACAUUCAUAUGCACUCCAGUUCUCAAAACUGAAUGCAGAUGAUGGUACAACUGAAUAGCAUCUUAUAAAAGAUAUGGUCUCUAUCUUUUUAAAAAGAAGUAGAACAUCUUGGAAUAUUAAGUAAAUACUGGAGUAUUCUCAGAGGGACAUAAAAUAAGCUUUCAGUGACCUGUUAAAAUUACUCUUUUAAUGGACCUCUAAGCAUUAUUCAAUUUUUUAUUAGUGAAUUAAUUCAAAGAGACAUUAUACAUUUAGGGAAAAAAAUCUUCUGAGAGCCAUUCUCCAAAAAGUAUCUCAUCAAGAACAUAAGAGAAGAGCUGUAGCAUCUCAUUAUAAAAUGACAGAACUUUUCUUUUUUUUAACUUGAACUAUAGUUGACAUAUAAUAUUAGAUUCAGGUGUACACAAAGCGAUUCAACAUUUAUAUAUAUUACAAAGUGAUCCACCACGAUAAAUCUAGCUACCAUUUGUCACCAAAGUUGUUACAAUAUCAUGACUAUAUUCCCUAUGCUGUACAUUAUAUCCCUGUGACUUAUUUAUUUUGUAACUAGAAAUUUGUACCUUCUGAUACCCAUCACCUAUUUCAUCCACCCCCCUCCCCACCCCCUCGCCUCUGGUAAACACCAGAUUGUUCUCUGUACCUAGAAAUCUCUUUUUGUUUUGUUUUUUUUAGAUUCCACAUGUAAGUGAAAUCAUGUGGUAUUUGUCUUUCUCUGUUUACUGCACUUGGCAUAAUACCUUCUAUUAUUAUCCAUGUUUUUACAAUUGGCAAGAUUUCAUUAUUUUUUAUGGCUGACGAAUAAUCCAUUGGAAUAUUUCAUUGUGUGUGUCUGUAUAUGUGUGUGUGUUUGUGUGUGUACAUAUAUCUUCUUUAUCCACUUACUGAUCACUGCACACUUAGGAUCCUCCCAUAUGUUGGCUACUAUAAAUAAUGCUUCAAUGGACACAGGGGUGCACAUACCUUUUCAAAUUAGUAUUUUCAUUUUCUUUAGAUAAAUAUCCAGAAGUGGAAUUGUUGUUGUAUUUUUACUUUUUUGAGGAGCCUCCAUAUUGUUUUCCCUAGUGUCUAUAUCAUUUUACAUUCCCACUAACAGUGUAUGAGGGUUCCCUCUUAUCCACAUCCUUGCCACCCACUUGUUAUUUUCUUGUCUUUUUGGUAAUAGCCAUUCUGACAGGUGUGAGGUAUCUCACUGUGUGUUUUUUUUUAAGACUUUAUUUUAUUUAUUUGAGAGAAAGAAACAAUGCCCAUGCAAGCACUCAGAGUGGGGGUAAAGGGCAGAGGGAGACAGAAUGAGAAUCUGAAGCAAACUCCACAUUGAGCACAGAGCUCAAUGCAG
rnacentral:lncRNA from 1 species